rnacentral:rRNA from 1 species
UACGGGGGGAGCAAGCGUUGUUCGGAUUUACUGGGCGUAAAGGGCGCGCAGGCGGCGUGACAAGUCACUUGUGAAAUCUCCGGGCUUAACUCGGAACGGUCAAGUGAUACUGUCGUGCUAGAGUACAGAAGGGGCAACUGGAAUUCUCGGUGUAGCGGUGAAAUGCGUAGAUAUCGAGAGGAACACCUGCGGCGAAGGCGGGUUGCUGGGCUGAUACUGACGCUGAGGCGCGAAAGCCAGGGGAGCGAACGGG